ACACUAAUUACCUGGGGAUCUUGUUAAAAUGCAAAUUCUGAUUCAGUAGGUCUAGGGAGGGGCUUGAGAUUCUGAGAUUUUAAUAAGUUCCCAGGUGAUGCCAAU
rnacentral:pre_miRNA from 1 species